rnacentral:rRNA from 1 species
GAUGAACGCUGGCGGCGUGCCUAAUACAUGCAAGUCGAGCGAACAGACGAGGAGCUUGCUCCUCUGACGUUAGCGGCGGACGGGUGAGUAACACGUGGAUAACCUACCUAUAAGACUGGGAUAACUUCGGGAAACCGGAGCUAAUACCGGAUAAUAUAUUGAACUGCAUGGUUCAAUAGUGAAAGACGGUUUUGCUGUCACUUAUAGAUGGAUCCGCGCCGCAUUAGCUAGUUGGUAAGGUAACGGCUUACCAAGGCAACGAUGCGUAGCCGACCUGAGAGAGUUGUCGGCGACGCUGGGACUGAGGCAGGGUCCAGACUACUGCGGGAGGCAGCAGUAGGGAAUCUUCCGCACUGGGCGCAAGCCUGACGGAGCAACGCCGCGUGAGUGAUGAAGGUCUUCAGAUCGUAAAACUCUGUUAUUAGGGAAGAACAAAUGUGUAAGUAACUAUGCACGUCUUGACGGUACCUAAUCAGAAAGCCACGGCUGACUACGUG